UCGGGAAUUUUGGGCAAUGGGCGAAAGCCUGACCCAGCAACGCCGCGUGAGGGAUGAAGUAUUUCGGUAUGUAAACCUCGAAAGAAUGGGAAGAAUAAAUGACGGUACCAUUUAUAAGCUCCGGCUAACUACGUGCCAGCAGCCGCGGUAAUACGUAGGGAGCAAGCGUUGUUCGGAUUUACUGGGCGUAAAGGGCGCGUAGGCGGCGCGGUAAGUCACUUGUGAAAUCUCUGAGCUUAACUCAGAACGGCCAAGUGAUACUGCUGUGCUAGAGUGCGGAAGAGNAAACCGGAAUUCUUGGUGUAGCGGUGAAAUGCGUAGAUAUCAAGAGGAACACCUGAGGCGAAGGCGGGUUGCUGGGCCGACACUGACGCUGAUGCGCGAAAGCCAGGGGAGCAAACG
rnacentral:rRNA from 1 species